ensembl:lncRNA MTUS1-DT MTUS1 divergent transcript
AGACAGAGAGGGCAGGGGAAACUGCCAUUUUUAAGCUAUCAGAUCUUGUCAGAACUCCGUCACUAUCACGAGAAGAGCAUGAGGGAAACUGCCCCCAUGACCCAAUCACCUCCCACCAUCCCCCGCUCAACACGUGGGGAUGACAAUUCAAGAUGGAAUUGUGUGGGGACACAGAGCCAAACCAUAUCAAGUACCUACAAAAUUAUGGUGACUCUUCACUAAUUUGCAAACUGAUUAUCUGCAAAUCUUAAAUAGGGAAUAAAACACAAAAAUAUCAUUAUCCCUCCAGAACUGAGGACGCAAAUUGGAUUUAGAAGACUUAGCUUUGACACCUAGAUAUGUUUUCAUUGAUUUGACCUAACUUGAUCUCAGUUUCUCUUUUAUAGAGUUAGUUCUUUAGAUCAGAGGUCCCCAACCCCAGGACUGCGGACUGCCACUGGUCUUUGGCCUGUCAGGCACCCGGCCACACAGCUGGAGUGUGAAAAAAAAGGAAAAAACUGAAAAUCUCAAGAGGAUUCCAGGAAAUCAAAACAAUGAAUUAUUGAAUCAAGAAUUUGAAAGAGAAAAUAGAUGCAUACUGAAAAAAGAAUUUUGUUUAGUGAGAUAGAUGUAAUAAUGAAGGCAUGUUGAUAACGGGGGAGCUAUGUAUAUAUGAGGGGAGGGAUAUAUUGGAAAUCUCUGUAUCUUCCUCUCAAUCUUGCUGUGAUCCUAAAACUGCUCUAAAAAAUAUUUUGAGAAGGAAUAA